GGGGGCGAACGGGUUCGACAGAGACCCAAGUGCGUGGUUAGGGCGUGGUAGCCCAACUCGGAAAAACGGCUCAAGAAAGACCGAGCAUCACGUAGCAAGUCUUUGGAACUGGGUUCGAUUCCCAGCGCCUCCACCA
rnacentral:tmRNA from 3 species